GUUUAUUGAAUAUAAAGAAAAGACGAACAGCUCAGUAACUCUUAUUUUAUUUGAUGUAUUAGGAUUCUAACUAUGUUAAAUUAUAGAUAACAAUAAUACAAUAAGAAUAAGAUCUAUCAGUUAGUUGUUAAGGUAAUGGCUUAACAAGACUAUGACGGAUAACGGUAUUACUUUGUAAUAUUCCGGAGAAGGAGCCUGAGAGAUUGCUACUAAGUCUAAGGAUUGCAGCAGGGGCGAAACUUGACCUAUGAUAUGAUAUUGAGGCAGUUAUGAGUAGUAUUUUUAAUUAUUGUAGUAUUGUAAGUAUAUACUACAAGAUAAAUCGGAGGGCAAAUCGAGUGCCAGCAGCCGCGGUAAUACUUGUUCCGAUAGUGUGUAUGAUGAUUGAUGCAGUUAAAAAGUCUGUAGUUUAUGAUUAAUAAGCAUUGUGAGGUAUAUUGUAUGGUUAGGAGAGAGAUGAAAUGUGAUAACCCUAACUGGAUGAACAGAAGCGAAAGCUAUAUACUUAAAUGUAUUAUUAGAACAAGGACGUAAGCUAGAGGAUCGAAGAUGAUUAGAUACCAUUGUAGUUCUAGCAGUAAACUAUGUUAAAUCAUAGAUACAUUUUAUAAUAUGUAUUUAUGUAAAGAAAUUAAGAUUAUAUUGACUCUGGGGAUAGUAUGAUCGC
rnacentral:rRNA from 1 species